UGGGGAAUAUUGGACAAUGGGCGAAAGCCUGAUCCAGCCAUGCCGCGUGUGUGAAGAAGGUCUUCGGAUUGUAAAGCACUUUAAGUUGGGAGGAAGGGCAUUAACCUAAUACGUUAGUGUUUUGACGUUACCGACAGAAUAAGCACCGGCUAACUCUGUGCCAGCAGCCGCGGUAAUACAGAGGGUGCAAGCGUUAAUCGGAAUUACUGGGCGUAAAGCGCGCGUAGGUGGUAUGUUAAGUUGGAUGUGAAAUCCCCGGGCUCAACCUGGGAACUGUAUUCAAAACUGACUGACUAGAGUAUGGUAGAGGGUGGUGGAAUUUCCUGUGUAGCGGUGAAAUGCGUAGAUAUAGGAAGGAACACCAGUGGCGAAGGCGACCACCUGGACUAAUACUGACACUGAGGUGCGAAAGCGUGGGGAGCAAACA
rnacentral:rRNA from 1 species